CCCCCCUGACAAUGAGCAAAGAGACACCCUGUGGGUGGUGGUGGUGCUCUUAUAUCAGUCAGAGGCAGAGAAGAUGUCAGUCCUUUGUUCAUCCUAGCUUGAUGUCUGGCUUGGUGGACAAAGCUGUCUUAUGCCUAGGACACAUAA